rnacentral:rRNA from 1 species
GAUGAACGCUGGCGGCGUGCCUAAUACAUGCAAGUCGAGCGAACAGACGAGGAGCUUGCUCCUCUGACGUUAGCGGCGGACGGGUGAGUAACACGUGGAUAACCUACCUAUAAGACUGGGAUAACUUCGGGAAACCGGAGCUAAUACCGGAUAACAUGUUGAACCGCAUGGUUCAACAGUGAAAGACGGUCUUGCUGUCACUUAUAGAUGGAUCCGCGCCGCAUUAGCUAGUUGGUAAGGUAACGGCUUACCAAGGCAACGAUGCGUAGCCGACCUGAGAGGGGGAUCGGCCACACUGGAACUGAGACACGGUCCAGACUCCUACGGGAGGCAGCAGUAGGGAAUCUUCCGCAAUGGGCGAAAGCCUGGCGGAGCAACGCCGCGUGAGUGAUGAAGGUCUUCGGAGCGUAAAACUCUGUUAUUAGGGAAGAACAAAUGUGUAAGUAACUAUGCACGUCUUGACGGUACCUAAUCAGAAAGCCACGGCUAACUACGUG